rnacentral:rRNA from 1 species
GCCAGACUCCUACGGGAGGCAGCAGUGGGGGAUAUUGCACAAUGGGGGGAACCCUGAUGCAGCGACGCCGCGUGGGUGAAGAAGCGCCUCGGCGCGUAAAGCCCUGUCAGCAGGGAAGAAAAUGACGGUACCUGAAGAAGAAGCCCCGGCUAACUACGUGCCAGCAGCCGCGGUAAUACGUAGGGGGCAAGCGUUAUCCGGAUUCACUGGGUGUAAAGGGAGCGUAGACGGCGACGCAAGUCUGGAGUGAAAGCCCGGGGCCCAACCCCGGGACUGCUCUGGAAACUGCGGCGCUGGAGUACGGGAGGGGCAGGCGGAAUUCCUGGUGUAGCGGUGAAAUGCGUAGAUAUCAGGAGGAACACCGGCGGCGAAGGCGGCCUGCUGGACCGUGACUGACGUUGAGGCUCGAGAGCGUGGGGAGCAAACAGGAUUAGAUACCCCGGUACAA